rnacentral:rRNA from 1 species
UGUUGUCCCGGGGUAAGGGUGUAGGACGAGUGGUAGGCAAAUCCGCCAUUCAUUAAGUCUGAGACCUGAUGCCGAGCCGAUUGUGGUGAAGUGGAUGAUCCUAUGCUGUCGAGAAAAUCCUCUAGCGAGUUUCAUGGCGGCCCGUACCCUAAACCGACUCAGGUGGUCAGGUAGAGAAUACCGAGGCGUUCGGGAGAACCAUGGUUAAGGAACUCGGCAAAAUGCCCCCGUAACUUCGGGAGAAGGGGGGCCAUCACUGGUGAAGGCAUUUACUGUCUGAGCUGGGGGUGGCCGCAGAGACCAGCGAGAAGCGACUGUUUACUAAAAACACAGGUCCGUGCGAAGCCGUAAGGCGAUGUAUACGGACUGACGCCUGCCCGGUGCUGGAACGUUAAGGGGACCGGUUAGUCACUCUUCGGGGUGGCGAAGCUGAGAACUUAAGCGCCAGUAAACGGCGGUGGUAACUAUAACCAUCCUAAGGUAGCGAAAUUCCUUGUCGGGUAAGUUCCGACCUGCACGAAUGGCGUAACGACUUCUCGACUGUCUCAACCAUAGGCCCGGUGAAAUUGCACUACGAGUAAAGAUGCUCGUUUCGCGCAGCAGGACGGAAAGACCCCGGGACCUUUACUACAGUUUGAUAUUGGUGUUCGGUUCGGCUUGUGUAGGAUAGCUGGGAGACUGUGAACUCUGGACGCCAGUUCAGGGGGAGUCGUCGUUGAAAUACCAGUCUGGUCGUGCUGGAUGUCUAACCUGGGUCCGUGAUCCGGAUCAGGGACAGUGUCUGAUGGGUAGUUUAACUGGGGCGGUUGCCUCCUAAAGAGUAACGGAGGCGCCCAAAGGUUCCCUCAGCCUGGUUGGCAAUCAGGUGUUGAGUGUAAGUGCACAAGGGAGCUUGACUGUGAGACCGACGGGUCGAGCAGGGACGAAAGUCGGGACUAGUGAUCCGGCGGUGGCUUGUGGAAGCGCCGUCGCUCAACGGAUAAAAGGUACCCCGGGGAUAACAGGCUGAUCUUCCCCAAGAGUCCAUAUCGACGGGAUGGUUUGGCACCUCGAUGUCGGCUCGUCGCAUCCUGGGGCUGGAGUCGGUCCCAAGGGUUGGGCUGUUCGCCCAUUAAAGCGGUACGCGAGCUGGGUUUAGAACGUCGUGAGACAGUUCGGUCCCUAUCCGCUGCGCGCGCAGGAACAUUGAGAAGGGCUGUCCCUUGUACGAGAGGACCGGGACGGACGAACCUCUGGUGUGCCAGUUGUUCUGCCAAGGGCAUGGCUGGUUGGCUACGUUCGGGAGGGAUAACCGCUGAAAGCAUCUAAGCGGGAAGCCUGCUUCGAGAUGAGUGUUCCCACCCCCUUGAGGGGUUAAGGCUCCCAGUAGACGACUGGGUUGAUAGGCCGGAUCUGGAAGGCGGGUAACCGCUGGAGGUGACCGGUACUAAUAGGCCGAGGGCUUGUCC